rnacentral:rRNA from 1 species
GUGAGGAAUAUUGGUCAAUGGCCGGAAGGCUGAACCAGCCAUGCCGCGUGAAGGUCAGUGCCCUAUGGGCGUUAAACUUCUUUUGUGCGGGAGCAAUAAGGUCCACGUGUGGGCCGACGAGAGUACCGUACGAAUAAGCAUCGGCUAACUCCGUGCCAGCAGCCGCGGUAAUACGGGGGAUGCAAGCGUUAUCCGGAUUUAUUGGGUUUAAAGGGUGCGUAGGCUGUGAGGUAAGUCAGCGGUGAAAUGCCCCCGCUCAACGGGGUGAAGUGCCAUUGAUACUGCCUUGCUGGAAUGCGGAUGCCGUGGGAGGAAUGUGUGGUGUAGCGGUGAAAUGCAUAGAUAUCACACAGAACACCGAUUGCGAAGGCAUCUCACGAAUCCGCGAUUGACGCUGAUGCACGAAAGCGUGGGUAUCAAACAGG